AUGAACGCUGGCGGCGUGCCUAAUACAUGCCAGUCGAGCGAACGGACGAGAAGCGUGCUUCUCUGAUGUUAGCGGCGGACGGGUGAGUAACACGUGGAUAACCUACCUAUAAGACUGGGAUAACUUCGGGAAACCGGAGCUAAUACCGGAUAAUAUUUUGAACCGCAUGGUUCAAAAGUGAAAGACGGUCUUGCUGUCACUUAUAGAUGGAUCCGCGCUGCAUUAGCUAGUUGGUAAGGUAACGGCUUACCAAGGCAACGAUGCAUAGCCGACCUGAGAGGGUGAUCCGCCACACUGGAACUGAGACACGGUCCAGACUCCUACGGGAGGCAGCAGUAGGGAAUCUUACGCAAUGGGCGAAAGCCUGACGGAGCAACGCCGCGUGAGUGCUGAAGGUCUUCGGAUCGUAAACCUCUGUUAUUAGGGAAGAACAUAUGUGUAAGUAACUGUGCACAUCUUGACGGUACCUAAUCAGAAAGCCACGGCUAACUACGUG
rnacentral:rRNA from 1 species